rnacentral:rRNA from 1 species
AAAUUGAAGAGUUUGAUCAUGGCUCAGAUUGAACGCUGGCGGCAGGCCUAACACAUGCAAGUCGAACGGUAACAGGAAGCAGCUUGCUGCUUCGCUGACGAGUGGCGGACGGGUGAGUAAUGUCUGGGAAACUGCCUGAUGGAGGGGGAUAACUACUGGAAACGGUGGCUAAUACCGCAUAACGUCGCAAGACCAAAGAGGGGGACCUUCGGGCCUCUUGCCAUCAGAUGUGCCCAGAUGGGAUUAGCUUGUUGGUGAGGUAACGGCUCACCAAGGCGACGAUCCCUAGCUGGUCUGAGAGGAUGAC